UUCCCUCCAAUAGAAGAAUCAACCAUAGCAAGCAAGGUGGUAGGCAUCUGAAUAAAACGAAUGCCACGCAUGAAUGAAGCAGCUACAUAUCCCACUAAAUCACCAAUAACUCCACCUCCCAUAGCAAUAAGGAUGGUAUCUCGUGUACAGGAUUGUGUGAGCAACCAAUCUUCAAUUUCCGCUUUCAUAGCUCGGCAUUUUGAAGAUUCUCCAGGAGGAAUCACAUAAGUAAGCAACCUUGCUUC